AGAAUCUUUCUCAAUGGGCGAAAGCCUGAAGGAGCGACGCCGCGUGGGGGAUGAAGGGCUUCGGCCUGUAAACCCCUGUCAUUCGCGAACAAGGUCGGCCAUUUAAAAGAUAGCCGGAUUGAUGGUAGCGAAAGAGGAAGGGACGGCUAACUCUGUUCCAGCAGCCGCGGUAAUACAGAGGUCCCAAGCGUUGUUCGGAUUCACUGGGCGUAAAGGGUGCGUAGGUGGUGGGGUCAGUUCGAUGUGAAAGCUCCGAGCUUAACUCGGAAAUGGCAUUGAAUACUACCCUGCGAGAGGAUUAGAGGGGGGACUGGAAUUCUCGGUGUAGCAGUGAAAUGCGUAGAUAUCGAGAGGAACACCAGCGGCGAAGGCGAGUCCCUGGACAAUUCCUGACGCUGAGGCACGAAAGCUAGGGGAGCA
rnacentral:rRNA from 1 species